rnacentral:rRNA from 1 species
AACAAACGCUGGCGGCGUGCCUAACACAUGCAAGUCGUACGAGAAAGUCCGCUUCGGUGGAUAAGUAAAGUGGCGCACGGGUGAGUAACGCGUGGAUAAUCUACCCUUAAGUCUGGAAUAACUUGCCGAAAGGUGAAUUAAUACCGGAUAAUAUCCCGGAUUCUUCGGAAACCGGGAUCAAAGAAGGCCUCUGCUUGCAAGCUUUUGCUGAAGGAUGAGUCCGCGUACCAUUAGCUAGUUGGUAGGGUAACGGCCUACCAAGGUUAUGAUGGUUAGCUGGUCUGAGAGGAUGAUCAGCCACACUGGAACUGAGACACGGUCCAGACUCCUACGGGAGGCAG